UACGAAGGGGGGCUAGCGUUGUUCGGAAUCACUGGGCGUAAAGGGCGCGUAGGCGGCUUUGUAAGUCGGGGGGUGAAAGCCUGUGGCUCAACCACAGAAUUGCCUUCGAUACUGCAUGGCUUGAGACCGGAAGAGGUAAGUGGAACUGCGAGUGUAGAGGUGAAAUUCGUAGAUAUUCGCAAGAACACCAGUGGGCGAAGGCGGCUUACUGGUC
rnacentral:rRNA from 1 species